rnacentral:tRNA from 1 species
AGCCCUGAGGUGUUACACAUUAGAUUGCAAAUCUGAAGAAGCAGGCGAAAUAUCUGCCGGGGCUU